rnacentral:rRNA from 1 species
CCAACAGGGAUUGCCUCAGUAACGGCGAGUGAAGCGGCAACAGCUCAAAUUUGAAAUCUGGUCCUCUGGGCCCGAGUUGUAAUUUGCAGAGGAUGCUUCGGGCGCGGCGCCUUCCAAGUCCCCUGGAACGGGGCGCCAUAGAGGGUGAGAGCCCCGUACGGUUGGCCGCCAAGCCUGUGUGAAGCUCCUUCGAAGAGUCGAGUAGUUUGGGAAUGCUGCUCUAAGCGGGAGGUAGACCCCUUCUAAAGCUAAAUACUGGCCAGAGACCGAUAGCGCACAAGUAGAGUGAUCGAAAGAUGAAAAGCACUUUGAAAAGAGGGUUAAACAGCACGUGAAAUUGUUGAAAGGGAAGCGCUUGCGACCAGACGUGCGCCGGGGUGCUCAGCGGGUGUUCUCACCCGUGCACUCACCCCGACGCAGGCCAGCGUCGGUUCGGAGGGGGGGAUAAAUGCACCUGGAACGUGGCUCCCUCGGGAGUGUUAUAGCCAGGCGCGCCAUGCCCCCCACCGGACCGAGGUACGCGUUCUGCAAGGACGCUGGCGUAAUGGUCUCCAGCGACCCGUCUUGAAACACGGACCAAGGAGUCGAGGUUUUGCGCGAGUGUUUGGGUGGUAAACCCGCACGCGUAAUGAAAGUGAACGUAGGUGAGAGCUUCGGCGCAUCACCGACCGAUCCUGAUGUUUUCGGAUGGAUUUGAGUAAGAGCGUAGGGCCUCGGACCCGAAAGAUGGUGAACUAUGCUUGGAUAGGGUGAAGCCAGAGGAAACUCUGGUGGAGGCUCGCAGCGGUUCUGACGUGCAAAUCGAUCGUCAAAUCUGAGCAUGGGGGGCGAAAGACUAAUCGAACCAU